GGGAGGUUGGCGGCGGACGGGCGUCUCGCCAACCCGGUCAGGUCCGGAAGGAAGCAGCCGUAACGAGUUUCGCGCUCGGGUCGUUGUCCAGCCUCCCACC
rnacentral:SRP_RNA from 1 species